UGUUCCUCGUGUAUUCGCCGCUUUAGGCUGCACAUAUUCGCGAUGCAAAAAUUGCCACUCCUAACAACGCGGUAAAGAUUUGAUUGCGAAAUUGUGUGUUGCUCUGUGGCGUCGGGAAAAUAGAAGUGUAAAUAAGCGUAAAAUAAUCAAAUUCUGUACUAUAUUAUUGUAAAAAACUUAGAGCUACCCAUAUAUAUAUUCGUAAAUAAUAAAGUACAUACAUAAUUGCAAUGGCUGAGUACGUGUGCAAGGUAUGGAGCGCUGAUAGACGUACCAAAAAAACGCUUAUGACUUUAGCAUCUACGGAUACAUUAAUACAAGCAGCACUUAAUUUUGGUAUUAAAUGGUCCAAAAUAGUCUUAGAGUCCGACGGAACCGAAGUUUGUGGUGACGCAAUUCUGGAGCAUUAUUUAAAACAAAAUGAAGCUUUGAUGAUCAUAGAUAAUGAAGAAUGGUGCGAGAGAGCAGAAAGCAGUACUUCAGCAGCGGCAUUUCAAAGAGGCACUCUUGAGCAAACUAAUUCAAGUGAGUUCCUCAGAAAACCCUAUCUCCCCUAUC